rnacentral:rRNA from 1 species
CAGCCGCCGCGGGAAUACGAAGGGUGCAAGCGUUAAUCGGAAUUACUGGGCGUAAAGCGUGCGUAGGCGGUGAGUUAAGUCUGCUGUGAAAUCCCCGGGCUCAACCUGGGAAUGGCAGUGGAUACUGGCUCGCUAGAGUGUGUCAGAGGAUGGUGGAAUUCCCGGUGUAGCGGUGAAAUGCGUAGAGAUCGGGAGGAACAUCAGUGGCGAAGGCGACUAUCUGGGCCAACACUGACACUGAGGCACGAAAGCGUGGGGAGCAAACAGGAUUAGAUACCCCAGUAGUCCCUGUCUCUUAUAC